rnacentral:rRNA from 1 species
UACGAAGGAGGCUAGCGUUGUUCGGAAUCACUGGGCGUAAAGGGCGCGUAGGCGGCUUUAUAAGUCGGGGGUGAAAGCCUGUGGCUCAACCACAGAAUUGCCUUCGAUACUGUAGAGCUUGAGACCGGAAGAGGUAAGUGGAACUGCGAGUGUAGAGGUGAAAUUCGUAGAUAUUCGCAAGAACACCAGUGGCGAAGGCGGCUUACUGGUCCGGUUCUGACGCUGAGGCGCGAAAGCGUGGGGAGCAAACAGG